AAUAAAGUGCUUUGCACAUACUUUAUUCAGGUAGCGCCACCUAUUGAUUGGGCUUAUUAAUACAACGUAUGCCGUGGCGAUGGUUGCAGAUGUGAAUUGGGCUGAUCUUAUGCUGAACAGCUGCGAGGGUGGUAAUUGACAAUGAUAUAGUGGGUGUGUGGCUUUGGUUCUUUUGUUGUUUUGAUGCUCUGUGCUAAAUAAUAAUUAAGAUUGUAGAAGAUAAGAGGAAAAAAAAAAAAAAGAAAGAAUAAAUCAUGAGUGGAAAUGCAGAGCAACCAACACUCGAUGGCAAUGAGGUAAUUCAAACUGAUACUCCAAUAAACCUGACAGUUGGCCAAAUAAAUGCAGAGCAAGGAGUGUCUGUAAGCUCUGUCAUGUCAAUCGCUACUAAUACAACCACCGUAGCCACAACAUCAACAGCCACAACAGAGUCAACUGCAGACCAAGAGGCUACAGAGACUCUACAUAGAAGUUCUACCAGCUCAGAAAUGUUUAAGUUGCUGCAAAUGCAAAGGCAGAACUUAGAGUUACAAAAUAAAAGUAUAGAAUCAAUGAAAAUCUUGAUGGAGCAUGUCCGGAUGGUUUCAGAAAAUUUUCUAGAAGCCGAAAGAUUCAGAAUAACAAAUAGAGGACAGAGCCGUAUGGAGAGUUCAUCUAGAGUAGA